GAUGAACGCUGGCGGCGUGCUUAACACAUGCAAGUCGAACGGAAAGGCCCUGCUGUUGUGGGUUGCUCGAGUGGCGAAGGGGUGAGUAACACGUGAGUAACCCGUCCUUGACUUUGGGAUAACUUCAGGAAACUGGGGCUAAUACCGGAUAGGAGCUCCUGCUGCAUGGUGGGGGUUGGAAAGUUUCGGCGGUGGGGGAUGGACUCGCGGGUUAUCAGCUUGUUGGGGUGGUAGUGGCUUACCAAGGCUUUGACGGGUAGCCGGCCUGAGAGGGUGACCGGCCACAUUGGGCCUGCGAGACGGCCCAGACUCCUACGGGAGGCAGCAGUGGGGAAUAUUGCACAAUGGGGGGAAGCCUGAUGCAGCAACGCCGCGUGCGGGAUGACGGCCUUCGGGUUGUAAACCGCUUUCGCCUGUGACGAAGCGUGAGUGACGGUAAUGGGUAAAGAAGCACCGGCUAACUACGUG
rnacentral:rRNA from 1 species